AAAGAAAAUAGUUCAGCACUAAGUCACUUUGUCUUUAUGGCAAAUGUGAGAUGCAGUGUAUGGAACAUCAAUAUUCUAGUAUGAGAAAUUAACGAUUUAAGUCCUUCUUAAAUGAGGCCAUUUACCCAUAGAGGGUGCCAGGCCCGUAUAACGUUAAUGAUUACUAGAUGGUGUUUCCAAAGAGUCGUGUUGCUUGAUAGUGCAGCACUAAGUGGGUGGUAAACUCCAUCUAAAACUAAAUAUAACCAUGAGACCGAUAGUAAACAAGUACCGUGAGGGAAAGUUGAAAAGAACUCUGAAUAGAGAGUUAAAUAGUACGUGAAACUGCUUAGAGGUUAAGCCCGAUGAACCUGAAUAUCCAUUAUGGAAAAUUCAUCAUUAGAAUUGUAAUAUUUAAAUAAUAUUAUAAUAAUAGUGUGCAUUUUUUCCAUAUAAGGACAUUGUAAUCUAUUAACAUGAACCAAAUUUAUCAUAAAAUAUGGCUUAUAGUUUAUUCAAAUUAUUUUGCUUGCAUUUUAACAUAGAAUAAAUGUCAUUAAUUUGAUAAAGUGUUGAUAGAUUUAUAUGACUACAGUGCGUUAAUUUUUCGGAAUUAUAUAAUGGCAUGAUUAUCAAUGAUUUUCUGUGUUUAUUAUAUGCACUUGUAUGAUUAA
rnacentral:rRNA from 1 species